rnacentral:rRNA from 1 species
AGAUUAAGUUAUUAAGGGCGCACGGUGGAUGCCUUGGCACUAGAAGCCGAUGAAGGACGUUACUAACGACGAUAUGCUUUGGGGAGCUGUAAGUAAGCUUUGAUCCAGAGAUUUCCGAAUGGGGAAACCCAGCAUGAGUUAUGUCAUGUUAUCGAUAUGUGAAUACAUAGCAUAUUAGAAGGCACACCCGGAGAACUGAAACAUCUUAGUACCCGGAGGAAGAGAAAGAAAAUUCGAUUCCCUUAGUAGCGGCGAGCGAAACGGGAAGAGCCCAAACCAACAAGCUUGCUUGUUGGGGUUGUAGGACACUCUAUACGGAGUUACAAAGGACGACAUUAGACGAAUCAUCUGGAAAGAUGAAUCAAAGAAGGUAAUAAUCCUGUAGUCGAAAAUGUUGUCUCUCUUGAGUGGAUCCUGAGUACGACGGAGCACGUGAAAUUCCGUCGGAAUCUGGGAGGACCAUCUCCUAAGGCUAAAUACUCUCUAGUGACCGAUAGUGAACCAGUACCGUGAGGGAAAGGUGAAAAGCACCCCGGAAGGGGAGUGAAAUAGAACCUGAAACCGUGUGCUUACAAGUAGUCAGAGCCCGUUAAUGGGUGAUGGCGUGCCUUUUGUAGAAUGAACCGGCGAGUUACGAUUUGAUGCAAGGUUAAGCAGUAAAUGUGGAGCCGUAGCGAAAGCGAGUCUGAAUAGGGCGUUUAGUAUUUGGUCGUAGACCCGAAACCAGGUGAUCUACCCUUGGUCAGGUUGAAGUUCAGGUAACACUGAAUGGAGGACCGAACCGACUUACGUUGAAAAGUGAGCGGAUGAACUGAGGGUAGCGGAGAAAUUCCAAUCGAACCUGGAGAUAGCUGGUUCUCUCCGAAAUAGCUUUAGGGCUAGCCUCAAGUGAUGAUUAUUGGAGGUAGAGCACUGUUUGGACGAGGGGCCCCUCUCGGGUUACCGAAUUCAGACAAACUCCGAAUGCCAAUUAAUUUAACUUGGGAGUCAGAACAUGGGUGAUAAGGUCCGUGUUCGAAAGGGAAACAGCCCAGACCACCAGCUAAGGUCCCAAAAUAUAUGUUAAGUGGAAAAGGAUGUGGCGUUGCCCAGACAACUAGGAUGUUGGCUUAGAAGCAGCCAUCAUUUAAAGAGUGCGUAAUAGCUCACUAGUCGAGUGACACUGCGCCGAAAAUGUACCGGGGCUAAACAUAUUACCGAAGCUGUGGAUUGUCCUUUGGACAAUGGUAGGAGAGCGUUCUAAGGGCGUUGAAGCAUGAUCGUAAGGACAUGUGGAGCGCUUAGAAGUGAGAAUGCCGGUGUGAGUAGCGAAAGACGGGUGAGAAUCCCGUCCACCGAUUGACUAAGGUUUCCAGAGGAAGGCUCGUCCGCUCUGGGUUAGUCGGGUCCUAAGCUGAGGCCGACAGGCGUAGGCGAUGGAUAACAGGUUGAUAUUCCUGUACCACCUAUAAUCGUUUUAAUCGAUGGGGGGACGCAGUAGGAUAGGCGAAGCGUGCGAUUGGAUUGCACGUCUAAGCAGUAAGGCUGAGUAUUAGGCAAAUCCGGUACUCGUUAAGGCUGAGCUGUGAUGGGGAGAAGACAUUGUGUCUUCGAGUCGUUGAUUUCACACUGCCGAGAAAAGCCUCUAGAUAGAAAAUAGGUGCCCGUACCGCAAACCGACACAGGUAGUCAAGAUGAGAAUUCUAAGGUGAGCGAGCGAACUCUCGUUAAGGAACUCGGCAAAAUGACCCCGUAACUUCGGGAGAAGGGGUGCUCUUUAGGGUUAACGCCCAGAAGAGCCGCAGUGAAUAGGCCCAAGCGACUGUUUAUCAAAAACACAGGUCUCUGCUAAACCGUAAGGUGAUGUAUAGGGGCUGACGCCUGCCCGGUGCUGGAAGGUUAAGAGGAGUGGUUAGCUUCUGCGAAGCUACGAAUCGAAGCCCCAGUAAACGGCGGCCGUAACUAUAACGGUCCUAAGGUAGCGAAAUUCCUUGUCGGGUAAGUUCCGACCCGCACGAAAGGCGUAACGAUUUGGGCACUGUCUCAACGAGAGACUCGGUGAAAUCAUAGUACCUGUGAAGAUGCAGGUUACCCGCGACAGGACGGAAAGACCCCGUGGAGCUUUACUGUAGCCUGAUAUUGAAAUUCGGCACAGCUUGUACAGGAUAGGUAGGAGCCUUUGAAACGUGAGCGCUAGCUUACGUGGAGGCGCUGGUGGGAUACUACCCUAGCUGUGUUGGCUUUCUAACCCGCACCACUUAUCGUGGUGGGAGACAGUGUCAGGCGGGCAGUUUGACUGGGGCGGUCGCCUCCUAAAAGGUAACGGAGGCGCUCAAAGGUUCCCUCAGAAUGGUUGGAAAUCAUUCAUAGAGUGUAAAGGCAUAAGGGAGCUUGACUGCGAGACCUACAAGUCGAGCAGGGUCGAAAGACGGACUUAGUGAUCCGGUGGUUCCGCAUGGAAGGGCCAUCGCUCAACGGAUAAAAGCUACCCCGGGGAUAACAGGCUUAUCUCCCCCAAGAGUUCACAUCGACGGGGAGGUUUGGCACCUCGAUGUCGGCUCAUCGCAUCCUGGGGCUGUAGUCGGUCCCAAGGGUUGGGCUGUUCGCCCAUUAAAGCGGUACGCGAGCUGGGUUCAGAACGUCGUGAGACAGUUCGGUCCCUAUCCGUCGUGGGCGUAGGAAAUUUGAGAGGAGCUGUCCUUAGUACGAGAGGACCGGGAUGGACAUACCUCUGGUGUACCAGUUGUCGUGCCAACGGCAUAGCUGGGUAGCUAUGUGUGGACGGGAUAAGUGCUGAAAGCAUCUAAGCAUGAAGCCCCCCUCAAGAUGAGAUUUCCCAACUUCGGUUAUAAGAUCCCUCAAAGAUGAUGAGGUUAAUAGGUUCGAGGUGGAAGCAUGGUGACAUGUGGAGCUGACGAAUACUAAUCGAUCGAAGACUUAAUCAAA